UGACCAUGAGGUGAUUGAACCCAUUUGUCUCUCCACCACACUAACAUCACUUCCAUAAGGAAUAACAUCACAUACGACAUACUCCUGGACCAUCUUCCACACCCUCUCCAACAAUUUGGUUCCCCUUAGACUAGUACGAGUACUAGUACUCCGCCCACCUGGGAUCACAGUCGUCAAUGCCUCAUUCAACAAGUCAUACAACAUCUUCCUAUCCAUAUCGCUUCUCGUCUCAGCACCAUCUUUUCCCUCCUCGUCCCAUUUCUUACGUGAUGCUUCUUCCAUUUGUUCAAAUACCCAGUUUGGAAUUGGCUUUCCAAGCGGAUCCCAUCUGCUGCUGGGUACAGACACGUCUGUGGAUGAUGAUGACCCAUCGAAUAACCCAGAAACAAUCAGCAAUUCUCUGAUGUAACAAGCUUCUGCUUU
rnacentral:lncRNA from 1 species